GAGUUUGAUCCUGGCUCAGAUUGAACGCUGGCGGCAGGCCUAACACAUGCAAGUCGAGCGGAAACGAGUUAACUGAACCUUCGGGGAACGUUAACGGCGUCGAGCGGCGGACGGGUGAGUAAUGCCUGGGAAAUUGCCCUGAUGUGGGGGAUAACCAUUGGAAACGAUGGCUAAUACCGCAUAAUAGCUUCGGCUCAAAGAGGGGGACCUUCGGGCCUCUCGCGUCAGGAUAUGCCCAGGUGGGAUUAGCUAGUUGGUGAGGUAAUGGCUCACCAAGGCGACGAUCCCUAGCUGGUCUGAGAGGAUGAUCAGCCACACUGGAACUGAGACACGGUCCAGACUCCUACGGGAGGCAGCAGUGGGGAAUAUUGCACAAUGGGCGCAAGCCUGAUGCAGCCAUGCCGCGUGUAUGAAGAAGGCCUUCGGGUUGUAAAGUACUUUCAGCAGUGAGGAAGGUGGGUAUGUUAAUAGCAUACUCAUUUGACGUUAGCUGCAGAAGAAGCACCGGCUAACUCCGUGCCAGCAGCCGCGGUAAUACGGAGGGUGCGAGCGUUAAUCGGAAUUACUGGGCGUAAAGCGCAUGCAGGUGGUUUGUUAAGUCAGAUGUGAAAGCCCGGGGCUCAACCUCGGAAUUGCAUUUGAAACUGGCAAACUAGAGUACUGUAGAGGGGGGGUAGAAUUUCAGGUGUAGCGGUGAAAUGCGUAGAGAUCUGAAGGAAUACCGGUGGCGAAAGGCGGCCCCCUGGACAGAUACUGACACUCAGAUGCGAAAGCGUGGGGAGCAAACAGGAUUAGAUACCCUGNNAGUCCACGCCGUAAACGAUGUCUACUUGGGAGGUUGUGGNCUUGANCCGUGNNUUUCGAGCUAACGCGUUAAGUAGACNNNGGGGGAGUACGGNCGCAGAUUAAAACUCAAUGAAUUGACGGGGGCUCNNCANANCGNNGNNNCAUGUNNUNNNNUCNAUGNNA
rnacentral:rRNA from 1 species